AGCGUAGGCGGUCGAUUAAGUUGGAUGUGAAAUACCCGGGCUUAACUUGGGGGUGCAUCCAAUACUGGUGGACUAGAGUACAGGAGAGGAAAGCGGAAUUCCUGGUGUAGCGGUGAAAUGCAUAGAUAUCAGGAGGAACAUCGGUGGCGAAGGCGGCUUUCUGGACUGACACUGACGCUGAGGCUCGAAAGCGUGGGGAGCAAACAG
rnacentral:rRNA from 1 species